GGUUCCGUAGUGUAAUUAGUUUAUCACAUUUGCUUUACACGCGAAAGGUCUCCGGUUCGAUCCCGGACCCGGAACCA